GAUGAACGCUGGCGGCGUGCCUAAUACAUGCAAGUCGAGCGAACGGACGAGAAGCUUGCUUUUCUGAUGUUAGCGGCGGACGGGUGAGUAACACGUGGAUAACCUACCUAUAAGACUGGGAUAACUUCGGGAAACCGGAGCUAAUACCGGAUAAUAUUUUGAACCGCAUGGUUCAUAAGUGAAAGACGGUCUUGCUGUCACUUAUAGAUGGAUCCGCGCUGCAUUAGCUAGUUGGUAAGGUAACGGCUUACCAAGGCAACGAUGCAUAGCCGACCUGAGAGGGUGAUCGGCCACACUGGAACUGAGACACGGUCCAGACUCCUACGGGAGGCAGCAGUAGGGAAUCUUCCGCAAUGGGCGAAAGCCUGACGGAGCAACGCCGCGUGAGUGAUGAAGGUCUUCGGAUCGUAAAACUCUGUUAUUAGGGAAGAACAUAUGUGUAAGUAACUGUGCACAUCUUGACGGUACCUAAUCAGAAGGCCACGGCUAACUACGUG
rnacentral:rRNA from 1 species